GCGAAAAGAACCCCGGCGAGGGGAGUGAAAAAGAACCUGAAACCGUGUACGUACAAGCAGUGGGAGCACAGAGCAAUCUGUGUGACUGCGUACCUUUUGUAUAAUGGGUCAGCGACUUAUAUUCUGUAGCAAGGUUAACCGAAUAGGGGAGCCGAAGGGAAACCGAGUCUUAACUGGGCGUUAAGUUGCAGGGUAUAGACCCGAAACCCGGUGAUCUAGCCAUGGGCAGGUUGAAGGUUGGGUAACACUAACUGGAGGACCGAACCGACUAAUGUUGAAAAAUUAGCGGAUGACUUGUGGCUGGGGGUGAAAGGCCAAUCAAACCGGGAGAUAGCUGGUUCUCCCCGAAAGCUAUUUAGGUAGCGCCUCGUGAAUUCAUCUCCGGGGGUAGAGCACUGUUUCGGCAAGGGGGUCAUCCCGACUUACCAACCCGAUGCAAACUGCGAAUACCGGAGAAUGUUAUCACGGGAGACACACGGCGGGUGCUAACGUCCGUCGUGAAGAGGGAAACAACCCAGACCGCCAGCUAAGGUCCCAAAGUCAUGGUUAAGUGGGAAACGAUGUGGGAAGGCCCAGACAGCCAGGAUGUUGGCUUAGAAGCAGCCAUCAUUUAAAGAAAGCGUAAUAGCUCACUGGUCGAGUCGGCCUGCGCGGAAGAUGUAACGGGGCUAAACCAUGCAC
rnacentral:rRNA from 1 species